AUGGCGCCCAGCCCUCUGAGCAAUAGUGCAGGUUACCGGCCCGGAAACUGCACAGCUCCAGAGAGCUUCCAGGGCCAAAUCUGCAGUUUGGUUGCUUUCUCCUGCAGUCAAGGUGGGAGUCUUAAAAGCACGGGGAGAAUACGUCUACUCAGCAGGGAGCAAUUUGGGAUGAUGCAAGCAUUCAUAGGAAAUAUGGAGAGGCUUGAACUGGACCAUGUGGUGCUGGAGAGGCCAUCGCACUGACUGGCAAGAGAAGACCUGUUUCAUGGUGGUCCACAGAGCAAUUUCCCUGGCUUCACUCAAGGCUAACUCUCCUCCAGCAAAACACCCCUCUUCUCCUCCCACAGAUGAAGCAGGUGAGUGACUCCAUGUGUUCUAG
rnacentral:lncRNA from 1 species